CCUACGGUGUGCUGCAGUGGGGAAUAUUGCACAAUGGGGGAAACCCUGAUGCAGCGACGCCGCGUGAGUGAAGACGUAUUUCGGUAUGUCAAGCUCUAUCAGCAGGGAAGAAAAUGACGGUACCUGACUAUGAAGCCCCGGCUAACUACGUGCCAGCAGCCGCGGUAAUACGUAGGGGGCAGGCGUUAUCCGGAUUUACUGGGUGUAAAGGGAGAGUAGACGGCGCGGCAAGUAUGAAGUGAAAGGCAGGGGGUUAAACCCUGAACUGCUUUGGAAACUGCCAUGCUAGAGUGCUGGAGAGGUAAGUGGAAUGCCUAGUGUAGCGGUGAAAUGCGUAGAUAUUAGGAGGAACACCAGUGGCGAAGGCAGCUUACUGGACAGUAACUGACGUUGAGGCUCGAAAGCGUGGGGAGCAAACAGGAUUAGAUACCCGUGUAGUC
rnacentral:rRNA from 1 species